rnacentral:rRNA from 1 species
CCUACGGGAGGCAGCAGUGGGGAAUAUUGCACAAUGGGGGAAACCCUGAUGCAGCGACGCCGCGUGAGUGAAGAAGUAAUUCGUUACGUAAAGCUCUAUCAGCAGGGAAGAAACACUGACCUUACGGUCAGCAGACGGUACCUGAGUAAGAAGCCCCGGCUAACUACGUGCCAGCAGCCGCGGUAAUACGUAGGGAGCGAGCGUUGUCCGGAAUUACUGGGUGAAAAGGGAGCGUAGGCGGGGAUGCAAGUUGGGUGUCAAAACUACCGGCUCAACUGGUAGUCGAACUCAAAGCUGCAGUGUGUGAGUGAAGUAGAGGCAGGCGGAAUUCCGAGUGUAGCGGUGAAAGGCGUAGAUAUUAGGAGGAACACCAGUGGCGAAGGCGGCCUGCUGGGCUUUUACUGACGCUGAGGCUCGAAAGUGUGGGGAGCAAACAGGAUUAGAUACCCUGGUAGUC